CCAAUUUGCAUAUUGGUCAGCCAAUCGAAUUGCAAUAUUUCUUAAAAUUUCGAUUGUAUCUUAGUUUAAGUUUUCGUGAAUAAGGGCCCAGAUCUUUAACACGUCUAAUAAUUAAAGAUGCCUUAUGUAAGAGUUUAAUCUGUAAAUUUGCCUAUUGGACAUUAAUUAACAUGACAAGCCCAUAAUUAACUCUCUAGACCAUCUGAUGGUUGUGAUUUUGAACGGAUUGAAACAUGAUAGCCAUUUAAUUAAAAAUGGAUAAUCGAGACUGUUUAUCAUCGUAACAACAAUAGCAAUGAAAAUCAUGACUGUGCUUUUCUUCAAACAGUCAGAACUUUGUUCAGAAUAGAGUAAUUUGAAUGAAAUUUUCAAUGUAUUUAUUUUUUAUCUGUUUUUGAACUAUUACAGCAAGAAUGGUUAGCUCUUUAUCUAAAUCUUGCAAUGUAUCUUUAAUGGUCAGCUCUUUAUCUAAAUCUUGCAAUGUAUCUUUAAUGAUCAGCUCUUUAUCUAAAUCUUACAUAAUGUAUCUUUAA